UGGACUACUAGGGUAUCUAAUCCUGUUCGCUCCCCACGCUUUCGUGCCUCAGCGUCAGUUACAGUCUAGGCAGCUGCCUUCGCAAUCGGGGUUCUGGAUGCUAUCUAUGCAUUUCACCGCUACAGCAUCCAUUCCGCCACCCUCGUCUGUACUCAAGCCAACCAGUUUCCAGGGCAGUUCCACUGUUGAGCAGUGGGCUUUCACCCCGGACUUAAUCGGCCGCCUACGCACCCUUUAAACCCAAUAAAUCCGGACAACGCUUGCACCCUCCGUAUUACCGCGGCGGCUGGCACGU
rnacentral:misc_RNA from 1 species